rnacentral:rRNA from 1 species
AUCCCAGACUCCUACGGGAGGCAGCAGUGGGGAAUAUUGCACAAUGGGGGGAACCCUGAUGCAGCGACGCCGCGUGGGUGAAGAAGUCAUUCGUUACGUAAAGCUCUAUCAGCAGGGAAGAAAAUGACGGUACCUGACUAAGAAGCCCCGGCUAACUACGUGCCAGCAGCCGCGGUAAUACGUAGGGGGCAAGCGUUAUCCGGAUUUACUGGGUGUAAAGGGAGCGUAGGCGGCCUGCCAAGUCUGAUGUGAAAUACCGGGGCUCAACCCCGGGGCUGCAUUGGAAACUGGCAGGCUGGAGUGUCGGAGAGGCAGGCGGAAUUCCUAGUGUAGCGGUGAAAUGCGUAGAUAUUAGGAGGAACACCAGUGGCGAAGGCGGCCUGCUGGACGAUGACUGACGCUGAGGCUCGAAAGCGUGGGGAGCAAACAGGAUUAGAUACCCCAGUAU